rnacentral:rRNA from 1 species
GUAGGUGGCAAGCGUUGUCCGGAAUUAUUGGGCGUAAAGCGCGCGCAGGCGGUUCUUUAAGUCUGAUGUGAAAGCCCACGGCUCAACCGUGGAGGGUCAUUGGAAACUGGAGAACUUGAGUACAGAAGAGGAAAGCGGAAUUCCACGUGUAACGGUGAAAUGCGUAGAGAUGUGGAGGAACACCAGUGGCGAAGGCGGCUUUCUGGUCUGUAACUGACGCUGAGGCGCGAGAGCGUGGGGGAGCAAACAGGAUUAGAUACCCUGGUAGUCCACGCCGUAAACGAUGAGUGCUAAGUGUUAGGGGGUUUCCGCCCCUUAGUGCUGCAGCUAACGCAUUAAGCACUCCGCCUGGGAGUACGGCCGCAAGGCUG